rnacentral:rRNA from 1 species
CAGAGCAGUACGGUCAACUAAAACUUAAAGAACUUGGCGGUUUUCUAGAUCUCCUUGGAGGAGCUUGUCAUCGAAUUGAUAACCCACAAGAUACCUCACCAACUCAAGACUUAUCAGCUUGUAUACCAUCGUCGUCAGCUCACAUCAAAAGAGAGUAAGCCAAAUGGAAAAUACCCACAACGUCAGAUCAAGGUGCAGCUAAUGAGCUGGGGAUAGAUGAGCUACUUUAUUCACAAAACAGAGGAAGUAACCA